rnacentral:rRNA from 1 species
UACGUAGGUGGCAAGCGUUGUUCGGAUUUACUGGGCGUAAAGCGCGUGUAGGCGGCUUUGCAAGUCGGAUGUGAAAGCCCACGGCUCAACCGUGGAAGUGCAUCCGAAACUGCAUAGCUGGAGUCCCGGAGAGGAAGGUGGAAUGCUUGGUGUAGAGGUGAAAUUCGUAGAUAUCUGCAGGAACACCCGUGGCGAAAGCGGCGCGCUGGACCACUACUGACGCUGAGGAACGAAAGCUAGGGGAGCAAACAGG